UGGGGAAUAUUGGACAAUGGGCGAAAGCCUGAUCCAGCCAUGCCGCGUGUGUGAAGAAGGCCUUUUGGUUGUAAAGCACUUUAAGCGAGGAGGAGGCUACUUGGAUUAAUACUCUAGGAUAGUGGACGUUACUCGCAGAAUAAGCACCGGCUAACUCUGUGCCAGCAGCCGCGGUAAUACAGAGGGUGCGAGCGUUAAUCGGAUUUACUGGGCGUAAAGCGUGCGUAGGCGGCUUUUUAAGUCGGAUGUGAAAUCCCUGAGCUUAACUUAGGAAUUGCAUUCGAUACUGGGAAGCUAGAGUAUGGGAGAGGAUGGUAGAAUUCCAGGUGUAGCGGUGAAAUGCGUAGAGAUCUGGAGGAAUACCGAUGGCGGAGGCAGCCAUCUGGCCUAAUACUGACGCUGAGGUACGAAAGCAUGGGGAGCAAACAGG
rnacentral:rRNA from 1 species